rnacentral:rRNA from 1 species
AUUGAACGCUGGCGGCAUGCUUUACACAUGCAAGUCGAACGGUAACAGGCCUUCGGGUGCUGACGAGCGGCGAACGGGGGGGUAAUGCAUAGGAACGUACCCAGAGGUGGGGGAUAACGCAGCGAAAGCUGUGCUAAUACCGCAUGUGAUCUGAGGAUGAAAGCGGGGGACCGAGCAGCAAUGUUUGGCCUCGCGCCUUUGGAGCGGCCGAUGUCGGAUUAGCUAGUUGGUGGGGUAAAGGCCUACCAAGGCGACGAUCCGUAGCUGGUCUGAGAGGACGACCAGCCACACUGGGACUGAGACACGGCCCAGACUCCUACGGGAGGCAGCAGUGGGGAAUUUUGGACAAUGGGCGCAAGCCUGAUCCAGCAAUGCCGCGUGCGGGAAGAAGGCCUUCGGGUUGUAAACCGCUUUUGGCAGGAACGAAACGGUGUCCGCUAAUACCGGGCGCUAAUGACGGUACCUGCAGAAUAAGCACCGGCUAACUACGUG